rnacentral:rRNA from 1 species
UACGGAGGAUGCAAGCGUUAUCCGGAAUGAUUGGGCGUAAAGCGUCCGCAGGUGGCUGUGUAAGUCUGCUGUUAAAGAGUCAUGCUCAACAUGAUAAGAGCAGUGGAAACUACACGGCUAGAGUGCGUUCGGGGCAGAGGGGAAUUCCUGGUGUAGCGGUGAAAUGCGUAGAGAUCAGGAAGAACACCGGUGGCGAAAGCGCUCUGCUAGGCCGCAACUGACACUGAGGGACGAAAGCUAGGGGAGCGAAUGGG